rnacentral:lncRNA from 1 species
UGUUGCCACAGCAACUUUGUGGUUCCAGUACUUUCAGCUCACUCGCUGCUGGAAUUUACUUUUUGUAAUUUUACGCGUAGUAGUUAUUUAUCUGCCUGUGAUGCACAAUCAUGUUUGGGCGAGAGGCGCGGCGUUCAACAAACAAGUUUGUGCAGAGAGAGAAGGACAGAAUGCGGAAAAAUGAAGAGAUCGCUGGCAGAACUGCUGAGCUGGACAGAAUCAAGAGUGUGAUAUUGAAGGCUGAAUUUGAGUGCCUUGGCCUUAAUUAUUAUGAAAAAGCCCUGAAACGCAGAGACAGGAUCCAACAGAGAGAGAUGGAGUUGUGGAACACCUCUCUCACUG